rnacentral:rRNA from 1 species
CGCGGCCUAUCAGCUUGUUGGUGGUGUAACGGACCACCAAGGCGACGACGGGUAGCGGGCCUGAGAGGGUGGCCCGUCACACCGGGACUGAGACACUGCCCAGACUCCUACGGGAGGCUGCAGUCGAGAAUCUUCCGCAAUGGACGCAAGUCUGACGGAGCGACGCCGCGUGUAGGACGAAGGCCCUUGGGUUGUAAACUACUGUCACGAGUCAUGAAUGGGUAGGCAUUAAUAGCGCCUGCAUUGACGUAAGCUCGAGAGGAAGCACCGGCUAACUCUGUGCCAGCAGCCGCGGUAACACAGAGGGUGCAAACGUUGUUCGGAAUCACUGGGCAUAAAGCGCACGUAGGCGGCUUGGUAAGUGUGAAGUGAAAGCCCACGGCUCACCCGUGGAAUUGCUUUGCAUACUGCCUGGCUCGAGGACGGUAGGGGAGAGCAGAACUCCUGGAGGAGCGGUGAAAUGCGUAGAUAUCAGGAGGAAUACCAGUGGCGAAGGCGGCUCUCUGGUCCGUUUCUGACGCUGAGGUGCGAAAGCUAGGGUAGCGAACGGGAUUAGAUACCCCGGUAGUCCUAGCCGUAAACGAUGGGCACUAGCUAGAGGUCUCCUGUUUGAUCUCUGGUGAAGCAAAUGUGUUAAGUGCCCCGCCUGGGGAGUACGG